rfam:Rhodotorula sp. JG-1b unplaced genomic scaffold RHOSPscaffold_34, whole genome shotgun sequence.
GACCAUUUGCCCGAGCGGUUAAGGGGACAGACUAGAAUUAAUUUCUUGACCAUCUGUUACGCUAUGCGUGCGCAGGUUCAAAUCCUGCAGUGGUCG